CAAUAGACGUUUAAAGUGCACUCACAUCAAUAAUGUCUCAGACGAUGUUAUCACGGUGUAACUUUUCUCUAUUUUUAUUCUUGCAUUCUUUGUUGUUGUUGUUUGUUUUUUUCUUUUCUUAUUUCUUUGUUUAUGUACUCUAUCCGUCUACAAAGAUUGUGUGUUUAUUACUAUUUUCGUUCGUCCACAAAGAUUGUGUGUUUUUUUUUUAGAAACUUCUUUUAUAUUUUGAACCUCAUUCACACUCAAUAUUUACAAAAUACCCACCAUUUAUUCUUAUAAUUUGGUGGACCCAAUACUACCUUUUAACACUAAAAUUACAUCUUCUAACUUUUUUUUUAUUAAAAC
rnacentral:lncRNA from 1 species